GGCAAAUUGUGUCCACCAGCCAUGAAAUGCAUACAAUAACAAUAUCUAUUGCUUGGAAACAUUGCUGUGCUGGUUGAGAGUUGCAAUCAAAGUAGCUUGUUGAAUCUCUGAUGAUAUUGUUGUAGAGAUGCCCUAUCUCUUACAUUAUGGGAUCAUCAUCAUCUUUUGUUAAAGUUGUGGUAUAAAUAAAUAAAGGGGUAGAUUUCUGUUUCCCUUACUAUGGGGUCCAUCUGUAUCAUUUGAAUCGAAGGCAUGCUGAGCCCCUGCUCCUGAUUCGGGCCUCUCUAUUCUCCAAUGAUAUAAAUAUAAAAUGAUAGUAAUUCUCAAUGGUACUCUUGAUAUUGAUCUCCCUGGGAAUACUCUAGAUGUUCUUACUGUACGUAUUACUGGGAGAGCAGAUUGACACUUAACUAUACUACAGGAAGGCCUGUCCAUUCUACCUCCACUGCUUACUUAUGCCCUGAGGCUACGAACAGACAGAAUGUGCCUGAGACAACAGCAGAAACCAGAAAAACGUUUCCCUUGCCACUUCUUUUUGGUAUGCAGGAGCUUCAUUUCCCAGCUGCAAAGGGAAUAAUGUAUCCGAACAUGCUGAUGACAGUCCUUUAUGAAAACAAGAAGUUGCUCAAUUGGUAUAGCAGAAUUCUGUGUAUCAUAUAUUUUAUGUGUGAAUAUACACUGCCUAACAUGAUGCCAUUCAAUGUUUCUGUUAUUAUACUGAGGUUAAAUAUGUAUUGUAUAUAUAUUUCUGACAUAUGUCUACAUUUUACAUUCAUCCUCCUUUCUUAACACCAGUUAGGUGCAAUUCAUGCAAAGAUGAUAUUUAGAUGUAGUUAAUUGUCAUUUAGGUGCGACCAGUACAAGACACAAAGUGCAGUGAAAGUUAAUCAUAUUUUAGUUCCUUUGAAAGAUGUUAGUGAAAAUUAUUUUCAUUGAUUUCCCUCUAAAAUUUUCUUCACUACACCCAGCAUCUAGUAUAGUGAGAGCAAAUUGUGUCCACCAGCCAUUUCUGUGCGCUUCAAGCUAUCCAGACUUUGGGUUGCUGUGAGUUUUCCAGGCUGUAUGGCCAUGAUCCAGAAGCAUUCUCUCCUGAUGUUUCACCCACAUAUAUGGCAGGCAUCCUCAGAGGUCUGUUGGAAACUAGGCAAGUGAGGUUUAUAUACAGUAGAGUCUCGCUUAUCCAACGUAAACGGGCCAGCAGAAUGUUGGAUAAGCGAAUAUGUUGGAUAAUAAGGAGAGAUUAAGGAAAAGCCUAUUAAACAUUAAAUUAGGUUAGGAUUUUACAAAUUAAGCACCCAAACAUCAUGUUAUACAAUAAAUUUGACAGAAAAAGUAGUUUAAUACACAGUAAUGCUAUGUAGUAAUUACUGUAUUUACGAAUUUAGCACCAAAAUAUCAUGAUAUAUUGAAAACAUUGACUACAAAAAUGGCUUGGAUAAUCCAGAACGUUGGAUAAGCGAGUGCUGGAUAAGUGAGAUUCUACUGUAUAUGUAAACUGAGGUUUAUUUAUUGACAGCUGUCCCUUCUCUGAUAAAAGCUGGAUGAAUAGGGUGGUAGUGCCACUUUUGAAAGCUACUGGGAACAGCAAUUUGCUUUUUGGAAUGGUUGCAGAACUCCCCUUGUAUGGUUUAACAUUAAAACACGCACACAUGCACAAGUUUUUCAAAACCAGAAGUAGACUUCUGGCUACUUCCAAUUUUGUUUAGUUCUGUGUAUUCCUUGAUCCUUUUUAGAAGUCCAUGCAGACCCUAGAAGGGCAAAGACACAAAAUGAGUCCAAGGCACACUACAAUUGCCCAGCCCUGAUGUAAUAAAAGGAAAUCUAUUGAGAUACAGUAGAGUCUCACUUAUCCAACACUCGCUUAUCCAACGUUCUGGAUUAUCCAACGCAUUUUUGUAGUCAAUGUUUUCAAUAUAACGUGAUAUUUUGGUGCUAAUUUUGUAAAUACAGUAAUUACAACAUAACAUUACUGCGUAUUGAACUACUUUUUCUGUCAAAUUUGUUGUACAACGUGAUGUUUUGGUGCUUGAUUUGUAAAAUCAUAACCUAAUUUGAUGUUUAAUAGGCUUUUUCUUAAUCUCUCCUUAUUAUCCAACAUGUUCGCUUAUCCAACGUUCUGCUGGCCCGUUUAUGUUGGAUAAGUGAGACUCUACUGUACUACAGGUUGAACAUCCCUUCUCUGAAAUGUAUGAAACCAGAUUUUUUUCUGGAUUCUGAGUUUCUUUGGAUUUUGAAAUUCCUCUAUUUUCUAUUAUUUACAUAUCUUGGAAAUGGGAUCCAAGUCUAAACACGUAAUUUGUUUAUGUUUCAAGGGUCUGGAGAACAAGCCGUAUAAGGAGUGGUUUAAAGAGCUGGGCAUGUUUAGCCUGCAGAAGAGAAGGCUGAGUGGAGACCUGAUUAGGGCCAUGUAUAAAUAAGUGAGGGGAAGUCAUAGGGAGGAGGGAGCAAGUUUGUUUUCUGCUGCCCUGGAAAACAGGAUGUGGAACAAUGGCUUCAAACUACAGGAAAGGAGAUUCCACCUGAACAUUAUGAAAAACUUCCUCACUGUGAGUGUUGUUCGACAGUGGGACUCUCUGCCCCGGAGUGUGGCGUAGGCUCCUUCUUUGGAAGCUUUUAAGCAGAGGCUGGAUGGCCAUCUGUUAGGGGUGCUUUGAAUGCGAUUUCCUUCUUCUUGGCAGGGGGUUGGACUGGAUGGCCUACGAAGUCUCUUCCAACUCUAUGGUUCUAUGAUUCUAUGUCACUAUCUCAAUUACCCAUUUAGACAAUUUUGGAGUAUUUUAGAAUUCCUGAUAAGUGAUGCUGAACUUGUAACCUGAUUCAGAUAUUACACUAGACCCGCAUCUAGCAUUAUGUGCAUUAGCUUCCUUUUUUCUUCCUUCCUCACAGCAUGGAUGUAAGGAGUGUAUUGGAAGCAACCAUUUCUGUUUUAAAUUAGCCAGAAUGCUUUCCCAGCCGAGGCACACCUCAGCUCAUGUUUGUUGGCUUUCUGUCGAUAUAAGUAUUCUCUACUUCCUGAUGAAAGUGCCUCUUUUUAUUUUUAUCUGUAGGGAAAUUUUAUCCGGAUGUGAUACAGUGUUACUCCAGAUUUUUAAAAUGUGCUUUAUUAGAUCUAUAGAUUUGUACUUAAUUUUUUUUGGCUGUUAUUUUGUUGUAGUUGCACACUGCUUCAUACACCAUUUUUUUGGUAGGAAAUAUGGCACCCAAAUGUGUGUGUGUGCAUGUGUAAGAAUUAAAUAUACGGAAAUCUUGGCGCUGUCUUAUAAAACCUAGUGUCAGUGUGCAUGCAAACCAUCUAUCAGCAUAGUACAAAUAAAUCAAACUAAAGCAGCUCAAUGCUUGUAGACUGGCAUUAGGAUAAGUGUAUCUUAAGAAAGUUCUUAUUCAGACUUGGCUCCAGGCAAUGAAACGUCAUAGAUGUAGAACUCUAGUGAGUGAAAUUUCUAGGGAGCAAAUUAGGCUAAAAACAUCUUCUAGAGACAGCUAGAAAGGAAUCAUAUACCACUUGAAAAUAAGGCAUGCUAUGCAGUAAAUGUUUCAUUUAUUGGGCUUCUUCCAAUGCUGUUAGGUUUAAAAGACAAGCUGUCAAUAAGAGCGGUAAAUGUAUCGAUGGUUUGAUUUUUCAGAGCCUUAUCACAUACAUGUAUAAGAAUUUGUAUCAUCUCAUGAUUUAAUCAGACUACUCUCUGAUCACUGUCCAUUUUUUCUGUUAAUGUUUUUGCCGUCUUGUAAAAAUGGUCACCAAAACCUAGGGAAAUAAGAGUACAAAGGAUUUAACUAUUUCUAUGCAGGCAGCGAAAGAGAUCUUCGUUUUUGAGAAUUUAAACAUCAAUACUGACCAAAUCUUUUUUAAAUUGUAGUGUUCGUUCAACAACGUUCCUAAAGAAACAUAACUCAUAAAUGCAAAUGUAAACAGAAAAUGUUUUUAAACAUACUUUGUGGGUUGAGGGAGUAUCGAUCCAUUUGCCCUAAUAGAAUAACUUGGGAGGGAAAGUGUCCUUUGUGUCCAUUUUGAAUGUGUACACAGAUCACAAGUACUUUCACUAUAGUAAAGGUAAAGGUUUUUCCCUAACAUUCUAGUCGUGUCUGGCUCUAGGGGUUGGUGCUCAUCUCCAUCUCUAAGCCAAAGAGCCGGCAUUGUCCAUAGACACCUCCAAGGUCAUGUGGCUGGCAUGGCUGCAUGGAACGUCGUUACCUUCAAGUCGGAGCAGUACCUAUUGAUCUAUUCACAUUUGCAUGUUUUCCAACUGCUAGGUUGGCAUAAGCUGGAGCUGACAGCGGGAGCUCACUCCUCUCCCCAGGUUCGAACCACCGACCUUUUGGUCAGCAAGUUCAACAGCUCAGCGGUUUAAUCCACUGCGCCAUCAGGGGCUCCUUUCCUAACCUCUCAAUUAAAAUGGCUGAAAUUGACUCAUAAUAUAUUGAAUCUGGAAAUUCCCAGAUUUUUUUUUAAAUGAGAAUGUACUAAGAAGAAUUCUACACCUCAAAAUCCUUCAACUGUCAGAAAAGUAACAAGGUUUUUGCCCUGUUCCUAUCUCAUGUUGAAGUCUCCAUCCACGCCGCUGCCAAUUUUCUAGAAAAUUCACCAAUCUUCCAGAGAAGCUUUUGAAGGGUACACAAAAGAACAGCAGCAAACUCAGGUAGAAAGAGCACUGGAAGGGACAUUCAGGAAUAAAUGACCAGUCAAGAAUAAACAAACUGCAAGGACACAACAUUUUCUUUGCACCAACCUCUCCACAUGCAUCAUCAGUAAAGGCUGAGUGUUGAACUUUCUCAACAGGUUGCAUCCACUUGCUUCUGGAAACCCCAAUUACAUACUUAUCUGAAUUGUCAAGCCCAAUGCUUUGAUUUUGCUCAUGCAAGCUAUCCAGCAUCUAGUUCUCUCAAGCUGUUGGACAAUUGUAGUGAAGUCAUUCCAACUUCAUUCAGUCAUUUGUGCUUCCCGUGCUAGUUGUAACACUAGUGCUUGCCCAACCACUGACAGAUCAGCAUCACCUCUUAUACCUUUCCUGACAGCUUACAGAUUGAUAAAGCCCUGAGUGCUAACUGGGGGGAGCAGAAGCUCAUUCAUUCCUGCUUCAGGAUGUUCUUGUCCCUACCAUGAUUGGUAUACCACAACUCUGUAUAUUAUUUUAAUGGGGGCAUGGGAAGCAAACAAAUAAGCCAAGCCUUUCUAGUCAGGAAAAUAGUGGGUCUUUUUCACCAUUCUCUAAUGAUAGUACAGUGUUCACCAUGGAGAUGUCAGAAGUUCCUUAGUCCUUGGCAAUGUGCCCUCACAAAUUUAGCCCAAGGACCUCCUCAUCACACUAGAUCUUGGAUCCUCUUUAAAUCCACUUUAAAUCCACUUUAGGGAGGGGGCUUUAAACAGCUCAGCCAGACAGGUCCUGGGCCUCACCAAACUACAAACCCCAGAAUUCUGCAGGAGGCAGAAAACAUAUUUAAAGUAGAUUCGUGCUCUAGUGUGAUGAGGCAGCAAGACAAGCUUUGAAUGGAAAAAGUGAGAAACUAGUCUCAGAGGCAAGGCAUCAGACAGCCAGGUGUGUGUGUGUGUGUGUGUGUGUUUUCAAAAUGGGGAUAGAAAGAAACUCAGACACAAACUUAAGCUGAAAUUAAUUUAAAUUUAGAUAAAAUCAUUCUGGCAAUAAGCAACAUCCAGCACCAGAUGAACUGGUCCAAACUUGUUAGCUGUCAAUCUAUAAGAAGAGAUGCAUCAUUGAGUUGGAGAUUGUAGAAAUGCUUGGAGUCCCGCCCCCUCCCCCCUUUGCAAAUUUUACUGCCAUACCCAAGCAGACUUGUUUUUAUGUUUUUAUGUUGUAAAAGAUUGUAUAUUUCCAUAUUGAAUUAUAGUCAAAGCCCUUCUUCUGGACAGCUCUCAUUGGAACCCAAUAUUGACAAUAGCAUUUUGAACGAAUGAAGUAAUACAGGGGUGGAAAUAAUGUGACUCUUCAAUUAAAACUUGUGUGUCAGUUGCACCCGUACUUUUGGAAGUCAGGCUUGGCCAUGAUAGUCCACACUCUGGUUACAUCUCAAAUAGAUUACUGCAAUGUGCUGUAUAUGGGAUUGACUUUGAAGACUGUUCAGAAGCUUCAAAUGGUCCAACGGGCAACAGCCAGAUUGCUCACUGGAGUGGUGCACGGAGAGCAUAUGUCAGCUCCACUGGCUGCCAGUCUGCUACCAGGCACAAUUCAAAGUGCUUGCUUUAGCCUAUAAAGCCCUAAACCAGUGGUUCGCAACCUGGGGUCCCCAGACAUUUUUGGCCUACAACUCUCAGAAUUCCCAGCCAGUUUACCAGCUGUUAGGAUUUCUGGGAGUUGAAGGCCAAAAACAAAUGGGGGCCCCAGGUUGAGAACCACUCUCCUAAACGGUUCUGUCCCAGUUUACCUGUCCAAACAUAUCUCCCUCUACGAACCAUCACGGAGUUUAAGAUCAUCUGGGGAAUCCCGGCUCUUGGUCCCACCUUCUUCGCUGGCAUGCUUGGUAGAGACAAGAGACAGAGCCUUCUCAUUGUGGCCCCUUAGCUAUGGAACUGAGGAGAGCAGCCCUCUCCCUCUUGAAAAGAGUAAAAACAUGGCUCUGUGACCAAGCCAUUGGGGAAUCUGUACAAUAAAUAGAUAUGGAUUGAUGUCUAUUAACUAUAGGAAAAGCCUUGAUUUUAAAUGUUUCUUAUUGUUUUAAUUGUAUUUUAUUAUCCUAUUUUAAAUGUCUAUUUUAAUUUUGUAUUGUUCUUAUGUCAUCGAAUAGCUGCCGACGUGUAAAGCCGCCUUGAGUCUCCUUCGGGGUGGAGAAAGGCGGGAUAGAAGUACCGUAAGUAAAUAAUGGGCCCCUGGUGGUGGCGUAGUGUGUUAAAGCGCUGAGCUACUGAACUUGCAGAUCAAAAGGUCCCAGGUUCAAGUCCCGGGAGCGGAAUGAGCGCCCGCUGUUAGCCCCAGCUCCUGCCAACCUAGCAGUUCGAAAACAUGCCAAUGUGAGUAGAUCAAUAGGUACCGCGCCGGCGGGAAGAUAACGGCGCUCCACGCAGUCAUGCCGGCCACAUGACCUUGGAGGUGUCUACGGACAACGCCGGCUCUUCGGCUUAGAAAUGGAGAUGAGCACCAACCCCCAGAGUCGGUCACGACUGGACUUAGCGUCAGGGGAAAACCUUUACCCUUUACCUUUUUAAAUAAAUAAUAAAUAAAUAAAAUGUGUUAACAUUGAAAGUCUGAGCAGCCCUAGACAGAGUAUGCAAACUGUGACAAAUGCUUGGAGUUAUGCUCCAGCAAUAUCUGGAUGGCCGAAUGAUUCCCAUCCCUAUUGUAAAGAAGUCCUAUUGAUGCUUUGGAGCAACCAGCCUGAGAACCGAAGAAAAUGUUUCAUUACCUCUGUAAGCAUGUGGCUGUAAGGUCAUGUAUGUGAAAGUAAUUUCCAUGUCCCAUGUUAAAGGCCUUAUCUAGGUUUAUACGGAAGAUAUGGCAAGCUAUAGGAUCAGCUCAAGGCUCUUAAUCUUGCUGUGAGAGAUAGUUUUUGCACAUUUUACCAAGCAAUUCUAUAAAAAAGCAAAGGUCGUCCAUCAGGUAUGCUCGGAGAUCCAAAGCAAAUUUGACAGCAUUUUAAGCACACAUAAAGAAUUCUGGCAGCGAUCUCAGUUAUGCAGAGGUCAGUGGCAAAACUCCAAGUGAUUUCAAAGGAGUCCGGUUUUACCUGCUGUGUUACUUUUCACUGGACUCUGAGAGAACUUACCUUGGUAUCAUUAUAUAAAUAUUCAUGCUAAUGCAGCAAAACACAAUUAUAUGUAAAGAAACAUGUGUUUCAUGUGAAUACUACACUUAAAUCUUAGUUUUUCUGAGGACAACAUAUAUUGUACAAGGACCUUCUGGCAUCAGCGAUAAUACCCACCCAUUUUCUCUUAAUAAUCCUAUGAGGGAAAUGAUCUUAGGAUCCCUCAACCAGUCUUCUUUUAAUUAGGAUGCUACUUCUGCUUAUGAAACAUUUGUAUUUACAAUCUGGCUUCAACUCUGGUCUAAGACUGAGAUAAUCGAGAUCCAAAUCAACACUACACUGUAUGUGUUUGUCGUCAUUGCCUGUUAACUUACAGUGACCCCAUGGAUUUCGGAGGACUUUCUUAAGCAAGAGAUAGAUUUGCCAUUUCCUUCCCCUAUAUUGUAGCCUGUAGCACCUGGCAUUUACUAGCAAUCACCCAUCCAAGUACAAACCAGUGCCGAUAUUGCUUAGCUUCUAAGAUCAUAUAGGAUCAAGUGCUUUGAGGGUAUUUCAGCAGUACCACUUUACUCCUUACUACUUGGUGACUUUUGACCAGCCAUUACCUCUCAGUCCAACCUGCCACUGAGAUAAAAAUGUAUACCACUUUGAGCAGCUUGGAAUAAAUGUAUUAUAUAAAUGUAUUAUACUGCCCCUGGUGGCACAGUUGGGACCCCUGAUGGCACAGUGUGUUAAAGUGCUGAGCUGCUGAACUUGCAGACCAAAUGGUCCCAGGUUCAAACCCCGGGAGCGGAAUGAGCGCCUGCUGUUAGCCCCAGCUCCUGCCAACCUAGCAGUUCAAAAACAUGCCAAUGUGAGUAGAUCAAUAGGUAAGGGCGGGAAGGUAAGGGCGCUCCAUGCAGUCAUGCCGGCCACAUGACCUUGGAGGUGUCUACAGACAACGCCGGCUCUUCGGCUUAGAAAUGGAGAUGAGCACCAACCCCCAGAGUCGGUCACGACUGGACUUAACGUCAGGGGAAAACCUUUAACUUUACCCUAAGAGUUUAUUUUAUACUUCUGAGUGCUUAAAAGUGAUUUUCAUGUACAUUAAGGUUCACACAAGUAUACACAUCCCUAGAUUUCUUCAUACUUGAUGGCUGAGAAUGUUUGCUUGGAUCUUGAAAUGUUGCUCUUUGUAAAGGAAUUUCUCAAAAACAGCAGGCAAAACGAGGUAAAUUUGUAUCUCUGAACCCAUCUAGUCGUGUCUGACUCUGGGGGCUGGUGCUAAUUUCCAUUUCUAAGCCGAAGAGCCGGCGUUGUCCGUAGAUACCUUCAAGGUCACGUGGCUGGCAUGACUGCACGGAGUGCCGUUACUUUCCCGCUGGAGCAGUACCUUUUGAUCUACUCGCAUUUGCAUGUUUUCGACUGCUAGGUUGGCAAGCUGGGGCUAACUGUGGGAGCUCACCCUGCUUGAACCUUUUGGUCAGCAAGUUCAGCAGCUCAGCAGUUUAAUCCACUGUGCCAUCAGGGGCUUCUGAACCUAUCUACAUGGAUUUGAUGCUGUUUAGAACCAAUAUUGAAGAAAGUGGUUUUGCUAUGCAGAUUAUUGCAUCGAAAAUCCUGGACCCAGUUUGAGGCCUAGAUGGGGAUUAAACAAACUGGUGUAUGGCUUCCUUUUGCACACUUUUCUGGGAGUUUGUGUUCUGGCCAUCUCAGUUUGAAUCAUCUGCACAGCAAAACUACUUUCUCCAAUACCAGUUAGAAACUGCAUUGAAUGGUCCAUGUAGCUGGGGUUUGAGUGCCUUAUCACACAAUGCUUUAAAGCAGGGUGUCCCACUUUCCUAUUGUGUGGUUGCCUCCUGCUGAAUUCUGGGUCUUGUAGUUUAGGGAAACUGAGGACCCCUCUGGCUGAGAAUUUCAAAGGCCUGCCGUAAACUGCAUUUCCCAUAAUUCUGCAGGAGGCAGUCACAAGAAACGAAAGUGGGAGCGCUUGCUUUAAAAUAUUAAUAUGAUAGUGUCCUGAGUCAUGGCAGUUAAAGUGGUAUCAAGCUGCAUUAAUUCUUCAGUGCAGAUACACCACUGAACAGGUUAAAAUGGGUCCCUCCUUGUAGUCAUUCCACUUUUUUAUUUUGACAGGCUUUUAGAAAUGGGAACAAGAAAGUUACUGCACUGGUUUUAUUGUUUUAACAGUGCUGUUCUUUUCAACUCUUUUUAAAUUUUCAACUGUUUGAAAUGAUUUCUAAACAUUGUUGCUAGUUUAAUUCCAUUUUAAUGUUGAUGUUUUUGUAUAUUUUAACUGCUUUGUAUUUUAAUUUAUAGAAGGCUUUAAGUCCAAGAUUUGGAAAAGAGGCAGGACAUAAAUUAUGAUGAUUAUGAUAAUGAUGAUGAUAAUAAUAAUAAAUCCAGUUUUUAUAUACAUGCGUUGUGUGCUCAACCAUCUAUCUCUCACUAUAAAAUACAUUAAAAACCUUCUAUCAUAUCUACAAAUCUGGGUUGCCCUGCUCUACGGCCCACCUCUGCUUUGACACUGUUUAUAAACACUACUGUUGCACACUUAGCCCUGCUUAUCCCAACUGAACUUGAUGGAAUGUAUUUCCGAGGCAGCAGCACCAGGAUCAAGCUGUUUUACAUUCUUUGCCCUCACAAACAAGAACAAAUAAUUCCUAUAGUAUUCUCCCUGCUGCAGAAGAAUACAAGAUUUUCUGUGUGGUUGUUGGUCAUUAUUUAGUGUUUGGUCUGUGCGGAAAUAGACAAGGUUUGUCUGCACAGAAAUAUGCAGUUUCUCUGCACAGAGAACAGUGUUUUUUGCUGUCUUCACAGAAAACUUGUUUUCUUCACAAAAUUUUAUUUUCUAAGCAAAACAAUAAACAAAAACAUGUCUGUCUGCACAGAUAACUACGUUACCUAUGUGUAAAGACUCUCACAGCUACAUCUAUUCUUCCCAAGCAGCUUUCUUGGCUGGAAAAUGACAAAUAAUGCUUAUACCUAUAGUCUAUUGUUUACUAGAAAUUAUAAUAUGAUGCAUCAAAAAUCAUCCUGUAUUGCUAAUUUGCUUGGGCAAGCAUUCUAGUGAUCCAAAGCAAAAGUACUUCCUUUGUUACAGAAAUCCAGAUUGUACAAGACAUACUUGAAGAAGCCUAUGCGCCAAGCACUUGUUUUCGACAAAGCAGCUGUUGGUUAACAUUUGGUAUUGGACCAUAAAUCACAUCGCUCACAUAACGGAUUAGGCUGCAUUUUCCCUUGAAUAUUGUAUUACUUUGGCUAUAGUAAGUUAUGCAUUUGUUUUCAUCUAGGGCACAACCUGAGAACGCUUGUGCAAACAGGUGUUCCUGUUCUUUGGUAAACUCGUUUCCUUGGUUAACAGAAGUUCUGCAAUUAUGGGUCCAUUUAUUUGGAGAUCCAAUACAACAAUCGGGGAUAACUGGAUAAUACCUAUCCAAAUCAUGGCUGUUUUUCAGGAUAUUUGAAAGAGAGUUAGUCAAAAGCCAAGCAGAGAAAAAAAAACACCCUGUUAAAUCCAUUUGUACAUUGAUUUAACAGAGAAGUAUUUCAUUCAUUUUUCUUUCUUUCCUGGAUGUCUUGAAAUAAUCCUUUUUCUGUCUCCAUCCUCCCACUUAGACAUUGUUCACAGCCUUACUUAUUUAUGAAGUCUGAAGGUUAGUUCCUACCUGCUGAGAGUAAUUAGCCCUGUUCUUUGUGUUCUAUGCAAUCCUGUCUGAUUAAAUGUACACAUUUGUUUUA